rnacentral:tRNA from 1 species
GGAAGCGUGGCCGAGUCUGGCUGAUGGCAGUGACCUCGAAAGUCACCAAGGCGCAUGCGCCUUCGCAGGUUCGAAUCCUGCCGCUUCCGCCA